UACGUAGGGGGCAAGCGUUAUCCGGAUUUACUGGGUGUAAAGGGAGCGUAGACGGCCAUUCAAGCUAGAUGUGAAAGCCUGGGGCUCAACCCCGGGACUGCAUUUGGAACUGUAUGGCUGGAGUGUCGGAGAGGCAGGCGGAAUUCCUAGUGUAGCGGUGAAAUGCGUAGAUAUUAGGAGGAACACCAGUGGCGAAGGCGGCCUGCUGGACGAUGACUGACGUUGAGGCUCGAAAGCGUGGGGAGCAAACAGG
rnacentral:rRNA from 1 species